rnacentral:tRNA from 1 species
UAAUUAGUAGCAUAAAGGAAGUGCAAAGGGUUUUGAUCUCUUAUGUAUAGGUUCGAGUCCUAUCUUUUUAA